rnacentral:rRNA from 1 species
GACGAACGCUGGCGGCGUGCCUAAUACAUGCAAGUCGAGCGAGCUUGCCUAGAUGAUUUUAGUGCUUGCACUAAAUGAAACUAGAUACAAGCGAGCGGCGGACGGGUGAGUAACACGUGGGUAACCUGCCCAAGAGACUGGGAUAACACCUGGAAACAGAUGCUAAUACCGGAUAACAACACUAGACGCAUGUCUAGAGUUUGAAAGAUGGUUCUGCUAUCACUCUUGGAUGGACCUGCGGUGCAUUAGCUAGUUGGUAAGGUAACGGCUUACCAAGGCAAUGAUGCAUAGCCGAGUUGAGAGACUGAUCGGCCACAUUGGGACUGAGACACGGCCCAAACUCCUACGGGAGGCAGCAGUAGGGAAUCUUCCACAAUGGACGAAAGUCUGAUGGAGCAACGCCGCGUGAGUGAAGAAGGGUUUCGGCUCGUAAAGCUCUGUUGGUAGUGAAGAAAGAUAGAGGUAGUAACUGGCCUUUAUUUGACGGUAAUUACUUAGAAAGUCACGGCUAACUAC